AGCGAACGCUGGCGGCAGGCUUAACACAUGCAAGUCGAACGCCCCGCAAGGGGAGUGGCAGACGGGUGAGUAACACGUGGGAACGUACCCUUUGGUUCGGAAUAACUUGGAGAAACUCAAGCUAAUACCGGAUAAGCCCUUAUGGGGAAAGGUUUACUGCCGAAGGAUCGGCCCGCGUCUGAUUAGCUAGUUGGUGAGGUAAUGGCUCACCAAGGCGACGAUCAGUAGCUGGUCUGAGAGGAUGAUCAGCCACACUGGGACUGAGACACGGCCCAGACUCCUACGGGAGGCAGCAGUGGGGAAUAUUGGACAAUGGGGGCAACCCUGAUCCAGCCAUGCCGCGUGAGUGAUGAAGGCCUUAGGGUUGUAAGGCUCUUUUACCCGGGACGAUAAUGACUGUACCGGGAGAAUAAGCCCCGGCUAACUUCGUGCCAGCCGCCGCAGUAA
rnacentral:rRNA from 1 species